rnacentral:lncRNA from 1 species
AGUUCUUUAAGCCGAUUUCCGUUUCCUGUCGGCAUUCAAAUGCCAUAAAACUAUUUCCCUGAAUUUUGAUCAGAAACUAGUACCCAAAAUCCAACCUUAUAUAAUGACUUCCGAAUGAUCACAAAAUUCUCAAAUAUCACAAAAAUGCUAAAUUAGAAAAUAGGGAUGUCCCAAAACCUUCCGAAAAUCCAAUUCAAUCACCCCCACAAACAGACCUGAAAAAGUUAAGCUAGGCCCCUAAAUAGAUGGGAAAUCUGCAGAAACAUAAUAAGAAAGAAUCCGAAUUUGAUUGCAACAAAAAUUGGCUUUUC